rnacentral:rRNA from 1 species
UACGAAGGGGGCUAGCGUUGCUCGGAAUUACUGGGCGUAAAGGGCGCGUAGGCGGACAUUUUAGUCAGAGGUGAAAGCCCAGGGCUCAACCUUGGAAUUGCCUUUGAUACUGGAUGUCUUGAGUUCGGGAGAGGUGAGUGGAAUGCCGAGUGUAGAGGUGAAAUUCGUAGAUAUUCGCAAGAACACCAGUGGCGAAGGCGGCUCACUGGCCCGGUACUGACGCCUGAGGUGACGAAAGCGUGGGGAGCAAACAGG